CCUACGGGGGGCAGCAGUGAGGAAUAUUGGUCAAUGGGCGGGAGCCUGAACCAGCCAAGUCGCGUGAGGGACGACGGUCCUAUGGAUUGUAAACCUCUUUUGUCGGGGAACAAAGGCGUCCACGGGUGGGCGGAUGAGUGUACCCGAAGAAAAAGCAUCGGCUAACUCCGUGCCAGCAGCCGCGGUAAUACGGAGGAUGCGAGCGUUAUCCGGAUUUAUUGGGUUUAAAGGGUGCGUAGGCGGACAGUCAGGUCAGCGGUAAAAAUGCGGUGCUCAACGCCGUACAGCAGUUGAAACUGGCAGUCUUGAGUAUGUUUGAGGCAGGCAGAAUGCGUGGUGUAGCGGUGAAAUGCUUAGAUAUCACGCAGAACCCCGAUUGCGAAGGCAGCCUGCCAAGCCAUGACUGACGCUGAUGCACGAAAGCGUGGGGAUCAAACAGGAUUAGAUACCCUAGUAGUC
rnacentral:rRNA from 1 species